rnacentral:rRNA from 1 species
UACAGAGGUGGCAAGCGUUGUUCGGAAUUACUGGGCGUAAAGGGCGCGUAGGCGGCCUUCUAAGUCAGACGUGAAAUCCCCCGGCUUAACCUGGGAACUGCGUCUGAUACUGGAGGGCUUGAGUGCGGGAGAGGGAUGUGGAAUUCCAGGUGUAGCGGUGAAAUGCGUAGAUAUCUGGAGGAACACCGGUGGCGAAGGCGGCAUCCUGGACCGACACUGACGCUGAGGCGCGAAAGCUAGGGGAGCGAACUGG